GUGCCCGUAGCUCAACGAAGAGAGCAAGCGCCUUCUAAGCGCCGGAUGCCGGUUUGAUUCCGGCCGGGCACG
rnacentral:tRNA from 2 species